GCAUUCCUUUGAGGGUCGUGGGCAGACGCCAUUUUGGCCCCAGCGGUGCUUCUAGGAAGUAGAGCGCCGGCUCGCAUGCCUGCCCGCCCGCCAGCCUGCCGGGUACGGCCUUUUCUGCCGGGGCUUCCAGGUCAAAGCAUUCACCUUUGCCUCUGCCGCUUUCUUACCUUCCGCACCCGUUAAGUUCUCCGGUCAGGCGGGAGUCUCUGAACACUUAGCCGCGCCAUCCGGGGUCACACCGCCUGGAAGGAGGUGACGGGGGCGGCGCGGGGCUCCCCGCUGAGAGUCCGCCUGCCAUGGACUCGGAAUAUUACCGCGGCGACCAGUCAGAUGAUGGUGGUGCUACCCCAGUACAGGAUGAACGGGAUUCAGGGUCAGACGGUGAGGAUGAUGUAAAUGAGCAACACUCCGGAUCAGACACUGGAAGUGUAGAACGUCAUUCAGAGAAUGAAACUAGUGAUCGAGAAGAUGGCCUCCCCAAAGGACAUCAUGUGACAGACUCUGAGAAUGAUGAGCCCUUAAAUCUUAAUGCUAGUGACUCUGAAAGUGAGGAGCUUCACAGGCAAAAGGACAGUGACUCUGAAUCUGAGGAACGUGCAGAGCCUCCUGCAAGCGAUUCUGAAAAUGAGGAUGUCAAUCAGCAUGGGAGUGACUCUGAGAGUGAAGAGACCAGGCAAUUACCUGGUAGUGACUCUGAAAAUGAGGAGCUUCUUAAUGGGCAUGCAAGUGACUCAGAAAACGAAGAUGUUGGGAAGCAUCCAGCCAGUGAUUCUGAGAUUGAGGAGCUCCAGAAGAGUCCUGCUAGUGACUCUGAAACAGAAGAUGCUCUAAAACCUCAAAUCAGUGACUCUGAGAGUGAGGAACCCCCAAGGCAUCAAGCCAGUGACUCCGAAAAUGAGGAGCCUCCCAAACCUCGAAUGAGUGAUUCUGAAAGUGAGGAGCUUCCUAAACCUCAGGUCAGUGAUUCAGAAAGUGAGGAACCCCCAAGGCACCAGGCCAGUGACUCUGAAAAUGAGGAGCUUCCCAAACCUCGUAUCAGUGACUCAGAAAGUGAGGACCCUCCGAGGCACCAGGCCAGUGACUCAGAAAAUGAAGAGCUUCCCAAACCCCGAAUCAGUGAUUCGGAAAGUGAGGAUCCCCCAAGGAACCAGGCCAGUGAUUCUGAAAAUGAGGAGCUACCCAAACCCCGAGUCAGUGACUCUGAGAGUGAGGGGCCUCAGAAGGGGCCUGCCAGUGACUCAGAAACUGAGGAUGCGUCCAGACACAAACAGAAGCCAGAGUCAGAUGAUGACAGCGACAGGGAGAAUAAGGGAGAGGAUACAGAAAUGCAGAAUGACUCCUUCCAUUCAGACAGCCAUAUGGACAGAAAAAAGUUUCACAGUUCUGAUAGUGAGGAGGAAGAACACAAAAAGCAAAAAAUGGACAGUGAUGAAGAUGAAAAAGAGGGUGAGGAGGAGAAAGUAGCGAAGAGAAAAGCUGCUGUGCUUUCUGAUAGUGAAGAUGAAGAGAAAGCAUCAGCAAAGAAGAGUCGUGUUGUCUCUGAUGCAGAUGACUCUGACAGUGAUGCUGUAUCAGACAAGUCAGGCAAAAGAGAGAAGCCCAUAGCAUCUGACAGUGAGGAAGAAGCUGGGAAAGAAUUGUCUGAUAAGAAAAAUGAAGAGAAGGAUCUGUUUGGGAGUGACAGUGAGUCAGGCAAUGAGGAAGAAAAUCUUAUUGCAGACAUAUUUGGAGAAUCUGGUGAUGAAGAGGAAGAAGAAUUUACAGGUUUUAACCAAGAAGAUCUGGAAGAAGAAAAAGGUGAAACACAGGUAAAAGAAGCAGAAGAUUCAGAUUCUGAUGAUAACAUAAAGAGAGGAAAACAUAUGGACUUUCUGUCGGAUUUUGAGAUGAUGUUGCAGCGAAAAAAGAGCAUGAGUGGCAAGCGCAGACGGAACCGCGAUGGUGGCACCUUUAUUAGUGACGCAGACGAUGUCGUGAGUGCCAUGAUCGUCAAGAUGAAUGAAGCUGCUGAGGAAGACAGACAGUUGAACAAUCAAAAAAAGCCAGCACUGAAAAAAUUAACUUUACUGCCUACUGUAGUUAUGCACCUUAAGAAGCAGGACCUUAAAGAAACAUUCAUUGACAGCGGUGUGAUGUCUGCCAUCAAAGAAUGGCUCUCACCUCUACCAGAUAGGAGUUUGCCUGCACUCAAGAUCCGGGAGGAGCUGCUGAAGAUCCUGCAAGAGCUGCCUAGUGUGAGCCAGGAGACCCUGAAGCAUAGUGGGAUUGGACGAGCAGUGAUGUAUCUCUAUAAACACCCCAAGGAAUCAAGGUCCAACAAGGACAUGGCAGGGAAAUUAAUCAAUGAGUGGUCUAGGCCUAUAUUUGGUCUUACCUCAAACUACAAAGGAAUGACAAGAGAAGAAAGGGAGCAGAGAGAUCUAGAACAGAUGCCUCAACGACGAAGAAUGAACAGCACUGGUGGUCAGACACCCAGAAGAGACCUGGAAAAGGUGCUGACAGGAGAGGAGAAGGCUCUUAGACCUGGAGAUCCUGGAUUCUGUGCCCGUGCAAGGGUCCCAAUGCCCUCAAACAAGGACUAUGUUGUCAGGCCCAAAUGGAAUGUGGAAAUGGAGUCAUCCAGGGUUUUGCUGUUACUGCUCAAUGUGAUCACACCUUGAAUAAGAAAUGGAAAACCUUGGGAUGUUGAUAAAGCUAAUAUCCUGAGGAAGAACUUCAGUGGGUCCCAGCUGAGUAGGAGAUGGGAUUCAGCAGUACUGGUACAUAGUUAGGCCUAAUGUGCUGGAGUGGCCCAGGCAGAGGCCUACUGCAGAGACUAAUGGGAGCCUCAAGAGAAAAUCUACCUUAAGAAAAGGACCAGUCUGACAGCAAGCCCAGCUUCCCAAGAAGAUAGAAGAUUGGAGGCAAGCUGCUGUCCAGGUAUGUCCUGAACCAGCCAACUUGAAGGUAAGUUUGCUCCCUGGGGAGAGAAGGGCUCUAGGUAUGAACUAAAAGCUGUGUCCAUAGACACUGUAACACUGGAGUUCAAAAAAUGUUGCUGUGGAACAGCCCCUCUCAUCUGAACCCAGACGGAAUGUUCUCACCUCCCAAAAGUAGUGUCUUGUAUUCCGGCACAGUGGUAGCUUUCUGGAUCCACAGGCAAGGCCCUGUGGAGUCUCAGAAUAAUGAUAAAUCCUCUAGAUGACGUAGGAGCUGGUGAGGUGAGUGGAGCGCCCUGCUAUGGUGUGUCCAUAGGACCAUUGGAGCCUGAUGCUGCCAAAGCACGACCUGACCAGCCCCAGCAACUGGUUUAGGAUCAUACAACCAUGGACAUGCCCCUAGGAUUCCUAGAAAUACUAAGGGGAAAAGGAUUUUCCUGGAGCUGGGACAUUCUACAUUUGCACAGCUCUGUUCAGACGUCACCUUUUCUGUGAGGCCUUCUCUGAGCUAACGUAAACAGCAGCAAGUGAACACUGAGCUCUACUAAGUGAUGGAUACUACUGAAUAGCAGAGAACCAAAGAUGAACAAGAUAGCUUCUGCCCUUAAUGAGGUCACAGUGUGAGGAGGGAGUCAGAAUGGUGCCUCCUGACAGCUGGAGGAGAUUGGGGAAAGCUUCGUGGAGGAGGUGCUGUCGAGUUGACUCAUGAAGGGGUUGAAGAAGCAGGCUCAGAAAGGACCAAGGUUUGGAGCUACCACUGGAGGAGCUAAGAUUCAGACCUGGUUCUUCCUGGUUUCACAUCUCAUGCUUUAACCAUGUGCUGGGCAGACGAGAAAGGCAGACACUGUGAACAGAAGAAAUGAUCCAUCUCAAAAAUGGAAACUUCACGGUGUGUAUUCAGGGAACCGCAGGAAUUCCAGGCAAGAGAUGAGGCAGGAUUCUACCUCACUCAGAAGGUGAGAUACAGGCCACAGGUAUUUCAUACCUCUGCCUCCUGAUUCCUUCUUCCUUCCAGGAUAGCUUACUUUUGUUACCGUAUCGGGUGUCUGAAUAUGCUUUGAUCUGAAGAAAGAAUUCUAUGAUUGAAGCAAGGGAUGGACCAUGUGGUUGUAGUAGCCCAGAUGGGAGGGGGGUCCUUGAGUAGGACAGUAACUGGAGUAACUGGGAAAAUGAAGGGGAGACGACAGAUAGGGAGGACUUCUAGAGAUAGGACUGCUAGGACUUGGUCGCCAUUGGCUGUUAGAGAGGCAGGAAGCUAGGCCUGGGUGAGUGGUGGAGCAACAGUGCCCAUAACAGAACACUGUGUAUGAGAACGUUCCGUGGGAGAUGAAAAGUCAGGCAGGUUUGGAGCCCCUGUGGCUCGUCGAGCCAGGGAGAUGCCCCAUCCUGAUUGGGAUGUGUAAGGCUGGAGCUCCAGGUAGAGUCACAGAGCUAAGAAACUUCAGCUUCUUUCAAGUUAUUGCCCAGGAAGAGAGUCCAGAGAAAGACCAGCAGUGAGCUUGGGAGCAGCAGCUGUGGACACUGGGAAUCUCCUCAGCACUGACAGCUCUGGACCAGAACUACAUUGCUUCAGAUCCCUUGUGAAGUCAUGAUUGGACAAACAUAUUAUCUAAACCAUUCAGGGAAUUUUUUGAAAUUUCUUAAUUAAAGGAAGUUAUCUGGGCAAA